GGGAGAAAAGGAGGCCUGGGCAGCCCAGCCCCACUGUGGGCUCAGGGGCUGUGUGCACCAUGGCCUGGACUCCUCUGCUCCUUGUGUUCCUCUCUCACUGCACAGGUUCCCUCUCCCAGCCUGUGCUGACUCAGCCGCCCUCCCUCUCGGCGUCUCCUGGGGCCACAGCCAGACUCACCUGCACCCUCAGCAGUGGCUUCAAUGUUGGUGGCUACUACAUACACUGGUACCAGCAGAAGCCAGGGAGCCCUCCCCGGUAUCUGCUGUGGUAUAAAUCAGACUCAGAGAAGCACCAGGGCUCCGGGGUCCCCAGCCGCUUCUCUGGAUCCAAAGACACCUCAGCCAACGCUGGGCUCCUGACCAUCUCUGACCUGCAACCUGAGGAUGAGGGUGACUAUUACUGUAAUACGUGGCAUGGAAACAGUAAUACUUACACAGUGCUCCAGAGUCACGGGGAAGUGAGACUAAAACCCUCCCUGUGAUCUUUCUGUCUGUGG